rnacentral:rRNA from 1 species
GACGAACGUUGGCGGCGUGCUUAAUACAUGCAAGUCAACUGAAGCAGUGGUAGCAAUAUCGCUGUGGAGGUGGCGCACGGGUGAGUAACACGUAGGUAAUCUGCCUUCAGGUCUGGCAUAACUCCGGGAAACCGGGGCUAAUAGCAGAUGAUGCAGCGGCUCGACAUCGAGACAGUUGUUAAAGCUAUGGCGCCUGAAGAUGAGCCUGCGUCUGAUUAGCUAGUUGGCGGGGUAACGGCCCACCAAGGCAACGAUCAGUAGCUGGUCUGAGAGGAUGAUCAGCCACACUGGAACUGAGACACGGUCCAGACUCCUACGGGAGGCAGCAGUAAGGAAUAUUGCUCAAUGGGAGAAAUCCUGAAGCAGCAACGCCGCGUGAGGGACGAAGGGCUUUUGCUUGUAAACCUCUGUAGUGAGAGAAAAUAAUCCCAAUCUUUGGGACAUGAUGGUAUCUCAAAAGUAAGCCCCGGCUAACUACGUG